AGAGUUUGAUCCUGGCUCAGAACGAACGCUGGCGGCAGGCUUAACACAUGCAAGUCGAACGGGCGUAGCAAUACGUCAGUGGCAGACGGGUGAGUAACACGUGGGAACCUUCCUCGUAGUACGGAACAACUCAGGGAAACUUGAGCUAAUACCGUAUACGUCCGAGAGGAGAAAGAUUUAUCGCCCCUAGACGGGCCCGCGUAGGAUUAGGUAGUUGGUGAGGUAACGGCUCACCAUGCCUACGAUCCUUAGCUGAUCUGAGAGGAUGAUCAGCCACACUGGGACUGAGACACGGCCCAGACUCCUACGGGAGGCAGCAGUGGGGAAUCUUGGACAAUGGGCGCAAGCCUGAUCCAGCCAUGCCGCGUGAGUGAAGAAGGCCUUCGGGUUGUAAAGCUCUUUUACCAGGGACGAUAAUGACGGUACCUGAGAAU
rnacentral:rRNA from 1 species